rnacentral:rRNA from 1 species
UACGUAGGGGCCUAGCGUUGUCCGGAAUUAUUGGGCGUAAAGAGCUCGUAGGCGGUUCGGCAAGUCGGAUGUGAAAUCUCCACGCUUAACGUGGAGGGGCCAUUCGAAACUGCUGUGACUCGAGUCCGGUAGGGGAGUGAUGGAAUUCCCGGUGUAGCGGUGAAAUGCGCAGAUAUCAGGAGGAACACCGGUGGCGAAGGCGGUUCUCUGGGCAUUACCUGACGCUGAGGAGC